rnacentral:SRP_RNA from 1 species
GUUAGGUAUGGUGAUAUACUCCUGUAAUCCCUGAUACUGGAAUAAGCUGAGGUUGGUGGAUCUCUUGAGCUCAAGAGUUCAGAGCUGCAGUAGAGCUAAAGCCAAUUAGGAAUCCACACUGAAUCUGGUACCAGCAUGGUGAGGUCCUGAGAGGGUGAAGCAAGGAGAGGGAAAGGGGACACUAGGUUGCCUAAGGAGAGCUUACAGGCCCAGGUUGGAGACAGAGUAGGUCAAAGCCUUUGUGCUGAUUAGCAAUUGGAUCAGGUCUACGACUGGCCACUGUAGUUCUAGCCUGGGCAAGAUAGAGAGACUCAGUCUUA